rnacentral:lncRNA from 10 species
GCGCUGCUGAGUGCGCCCUGCCUGGCACAACAGGCUUGAGUCACGGCGUUGAGGAACUAGCCAUGUUGGAGCGGAAGGGUGAUCCGUCAGGCAGUCGGAGCUAGCACGCUCAGAGGGAGUGCAGUCCCUCCCCUUUCUGCCUCCUCCCCACCCUGUUUCAAGGCUGGAUGCAGGGCUAGACCUCCGCAAAAUCGUGAAGCCGAAGAAAUUUGGGUCCGCCCAUCUGCUCUUACUGCACUGCGUCCGCCCUCUUUGUUUCUGUCUCAGUCUCUCUGUCUCCCUUCGUUCUCUUUCUCUCCCCCUGCUACCCCCCCCCACAGUUACACACACACACACACACACACACACACACACACACACACACACGCAGUGUGAAAGAUGCGAGCCAUAGCAUCUCGUAACAUGAAGGCCAUCCAGCUCCAUCCUCCCACUGCUGCUUGAACAAUAUGCUUAACACGUAGUGCCGCAGUCGCUGCUU